GCCCAGGUGGUGGAAUUGGUAGACACGCAGGACUUAAAAUCCUGUGAGCAGUGAUGUUCGUGCGGGUUCAAGUCCCGCCCCGGGUA
rnacentral:tRNA from 1 species